UGGGGAAUUUUGGACAAUGGGCGAAAGCCUGAUCCAGCAAUGCCGCGUGUGUGAAGAAGGCCUUCGGGUUGUAAAGCACUUUUGUCCGGAAAGAAAUCCUUGGCUCUAAUACAGUCGGGGGAUGACGGUACCGGAAGAAUAAGCACCGGCUAACUACGUGCCAGCAGCCGCGGUAAUACGUAGGGUGCAAGCGUUAAUCGGAAUUACUGGGCGUAAAGCGUGCGCAGGCGGUUUGCUAAGACCGAUGUGAAAAUCCCCGGGCUCAACCUGGGAACUGCAUUGGUGACUGGCAGGCUAGAGUAUGGCAGAGGGGGGUAGAAUUCCACGUGUAGCAGAUGAGAUGCGUAGAGAUGUGGAGGAAUACCGAUGGCGAAGGCAGCCCCCUGGCCAAUACUGACGCUCAUGGCACGAAAAG
rnacentral:rRNA from 1 species